CUGAGGUCAUUAUCUGAUUUGUCUCAUUCAAGCAUCCAUUCCAUGCAAAACUUGUGAAACAUUAGGGAAUAGAGUCAUUAAGCAUCCAUUACACAAUUUAUAAAACAAAGUAUAUUCAUUGAUUCCAACGGUCAAAUUUGGGGUUACUAGGGCAAUAUACUCCACCCCUUUUAAAUUUUGAUUUACAAAAUUGAAGGUUCACUUUUUUUCUCAAGCAGAAGACUGAAUGGUCUUGAAUUUGAAUAAUUAUAAAUAAAAAAUGGGUAUUCGAACAAGUAUCAAUGCAAAUAUACAUUGAAAUCAAAGUUCCAAAAUUACCUAAUCCAACAAAAAGAGUAAAGUUAACUUUCAAAAUAUCAGUACUAAACAGGGUCUUGGGACAAAAUACAUUUGCUCAAUUAUUAUGUUUCUUUUGUUUUUAUCAAGACAAAGAUUGGAUAUUUUUGAAUAAACAAGAUGAGAAAAUGGGUAUCUCAACAUCCAUGAAUUGAAUGCAAAUAUCUUUGAGGGUUCUCGGCACAGACCUGUUACAUAAUAAUAUUGUCUGGAAGAAUUGUCAUCAGUCACCACAGCAAGUUUGUAGGCUGCAUACCGGAGAGGUUGUACCACCUACAUGAUCGAUUGAUUCAAUGCUGCAAAACCGAGAGGCCACUUAUAAGAGUUCACAUGUAUUGUCAAUUACUAAAUCCAAGACUUGCAUUUAUAAUUAUCAACACAAAUCUAGUGCUAUUUGAUUCUUAUAAAAUCACCUGCAGCCAAAAACAUUAACAGAUGCAACCUUGUUAUGGUUUAUUCAUUGAUCACAAUGCAAGCAUCACUAUAUGACAUAGGUGGUCUGCAUAAUGUCAUAUAUACAGGAUAAAUGUUGUGAGAAAUAGUUCAAACUCUAAAGAGUUAGCUUUUUUGUACUUUGCCUGAGUUGAUUUGUUUCUUCCUUAGAGAAUUCCUUUGAAACCAUUAUCAAUAGGCUAAUCCAACACAACCAUGCACUCCAUUUUGCAUUUGCAAAAGCACUUCAUAUUGUAGUUGCAAAAUUGCAUUUAGGACUAGGUCAUCAAAGCAAAAUUUCUAACAUAUGUGCCUCAUAUAUCAUCUCAGUGACAGUUUCACAGUCAUAAUAAGGCAAUAGAGACCAUACACGUUUUGAAUAAAAAGUUCAUAUUAAAAUUUCUUUAAAGGCGACCAUCCUUUUUUCCUUUAUGAGGGUCAUUAAGUUCAUAACACAAAAUCACAUCUAGUUGCAGUUGCAAAUUGAAUUUAGGGACUAAGGGUCAUCAAAUCAAAAUAGGCAUCCAUUCAUGCAUUAUGAAUAAAGGUUC
rnacentral:lncRNA from 1 species